rnacentral:rRNA from 1 species
UUAAGCGACUAAGCGUACACGGUGGAUGCCCUGGCAGUCAGAGGCGAUGAAGGGCGUGCUAAUCUGCGAUAAGCGCCGGUAAGGUGAUAUGAACCGUUAUAACCGGCGAUACCCGAAUGGGGAAACCCAGUGUGACUCGUCACACUAUCAUUAACUGAAUCCAUAGGUUAAUGAGGCGAACCGGGGGGAACUGAAACAUCUAAGUACCCGGAGGAAAAGAAAUCAACCGAGAUUCCCCCAGUAGCGCGAGCGAACGGGGAGGAGCCCAGAGCCUGAAUCAGCAUGUGUGUUAGUGGAAGCGUCUGGAAAGGCGCGCGAUACAGGGUGACAGCCCCGUACACAAAAGCGCAUGUGCUGUGAGCUCGAUGAGUAGGGCGGGACACGUGGUAUCCUGGUCUGAAUAUGGGGGGACCAUCCUCCAAGGCUAAAUACUCCUGACUGACCGAUAGUGAACCAGUACCGUGAGGGAAAGGCGAAAAGAACCCGGCGAGGGGAGUGAAAAAGAACCUGAAACCGUGUACGUACAAGCAGUGGGAGCACCCUUCGGGGUGUGACUGCGUACCUUUUGUAUAAUGGGUCAGCGACUUAUAUUCUGUAGCAAGGUUAACCGUAUAGGGGAGCCGGAGGGAAACCGAGUCUUAAUUGGGCGUUAAGUUGCAGGGUAUAGACCCGAAACCCGGUGAUCUAGCCAUGGGCAGGUUGAAGGUUGGGUAACACUAACUGGAGGACCGAACCGACUAAUGUUGAAAAAUUAGCGGAUGACCUGUGGCUGGGGGUGAAAGGCCAAUCAAACCGGGAGAUAGCUGGUUCUCCCCGAAAGCUAUUUAGGUAGCGCCUCGUGAAUUCAUCUCCGGGGGUAGAGCACUGUUUCGGCUAGGGGGGCCAUCCCGGCUUACCAACCCGAUGCAAACUGCGAAUACCGGAGAAUGUUAUCACGGGAGACACACGGCGGGUGCUAACGUCCGUCGUGAAGAGGGAAACAACCCAGACCGCCAGCUAAGGUCCCAAAGUCAUGGUUAAGUGGGAAACGAUGUGGGAAGGCCCAGACAGCCAGGAUGUUGGCUUAGAAGCAGCCAUCAUUUAAAGAAAGCGUAAUAGCUCACUGGUCGAGUCGGCCUGCGCGGAAGAUGUAACGGGCUAAACCAUGCACCGAAGCUGCGGCAGCGAACGUAUCACCCAAGACAACUUUACGGAGUUGACGAUUGACGGAGCGAAGCGACGUCAAAGCGUUCAUUAAAGUCGAGUUGGCUUAGGGAUACGUUCGUUGGGUAGGGGAGCGUUCUGUAAGCCUGUGAAGGUGUGUCGUGAGGCAUGCUGGAGGUAUCAGAAGUGCGAAUGCUGACAUAAGUAACGAUAAAGCGGGUGAAAAGCCCGCUCGCCGGAAGACCAAGGGUUCCUGUCCAACGUUAAUCGGGGCAGGGUGAGUCGACCCCUAAGGCGAGGCCGAAAGGCGUAGUCGAUGGGAAACGGGUUAAUAUUCCCGUACUUGGUGUUACUGCGAAGGGGGGACGGAGAAGGCUAUGUUGGCCGGGCGACGGUUGUCCCGGUUUAAGCGUGUAGGUGUGUGUUCCAGGUAAAUCCGGUUCACUUUAACACUGAGGCGUGAUGACGAGGCACUACGGUGCUGAAGCAACAAAUGCCCUGCUUCCAGGAAAAGCCUCUAAGCAUCAGGUAACAUCAAAUCGUACCCCAAACCGACACAGGUGGUCAGGUAGAGAAUACCAAGGCGCUUGAGAGAACUCGGGUGAAGGAACUAGGCAAAAUGGUGCCGUAACUUCGGGAGAAGGCACGCUGACACGUAGGUGAAGUGAUUUACUCAUGGAGCUGAAGUCAGUCGAAGAUACCAGCUGGCUGCAACUGUUUAUUAAAAACACAGCACUGUGCAAACACGAAAGUGGACGUAUACGGUGUGACGCCUGCCCGGUGCCGGAAGGUUAAUUGAUGGGGUCAGCGCAAGCGAAGCUCCUGAUCGAAGCCCCGGUAAACGGCGGCCGUAACUAUAACGGUCCUAAGGUAGCGAAAUUCCUUGUCGGGUAAGUUCCGACCUGCACGAAUGGCGUAAUGAUGGCCAGGCUGUCUCCACCCGAGACUCAGUGAAAUUGAACUCGCUGUGAAGAUGCAGUGUACCCGCGGCAAGACGGAAAGACCCCGUGAACCUUUACUAUAGCUUGACACUGAACAUUGAGCCUUGAUGUGUAGGAUAGGUGGGAGGCUUUGAAGUGUGGACGCCAGUCUGCAUGGAGCCGACCUUGAAAUACCACCCUUUAAUGUUUGAUGUUCUAACGUGGACCCGUAAUCCGGGUUGCGGACAGUGUCUGGUGGGUAGUUUGACUGGGGCGGUCUCCUCCUAAAGAGUAACGGAGGAGCACGAAGGUUGGCUAAUCCUGGUCGGACAUCAGGAGGUUAGUGCAAUGGCAUAAGCCAGCUUGACUGCGAGCGUGACGGCGCGAGCAGGUGCGAAAGCAGGUCAUAGUGAUCCGGUGGUUCUGAAUGGAAGGGCCAUCGCUCAACGGAUAAAAGGUACUCCGGGGAUAACAGGCUGAUACCGCCCAAGAGUUCAUAUCGACGGCGGUGUUUGGCACCUCGAUGUCGGCUCAUCACAUCCUGGGGCUGAAGUAGGUCCCAAGGGUAUGGCUGUUCGCCAUUUAAAGUGGUACGCGAGCUGGGUUUAGAACGUCGUGAGACAGUUCGGUCCCUAUCUGCCGUGGGCGCUGGAGAACUGAGGGGGGCUGCUCCUAGUACGAGAGGACCGGAGUGGACGCAUCACUGGUGUUCGGGUUGUCAUGCCAAUGGCACUGCCCGGUAGCUAAAUGCGGAAGAGAUAAGUGCUGAAAGCAUCUAAGCACGAAACUUGCCCCGAGAUGAGUUCUCCCUGAGACUUUAGGUCUCCUGAAGGAACGUUGAAGACGACGACGUUGAUAGGCCGGGUGUGUAAGCGCAGCGAUGCGUUGAGCUAACCGGUACUAAUGAACCGUGAGGCUUAACCUU